rnacentral:lncRNA from 1 species
GCUUGGUCUUCUCAUUGCCAAUUUUAAUACCUUCAAUUUCUUUUUCUUCUCUAAUUGCUACUGCUAGUGUUUCUAGUACAAUGUUAAAUAAUAGAGGUGAUAAUGGGCAUCCUUGUUUUACUCUUGAUCUUAUUGGAAAGGCUUCUAGUUUGUACCCCAAAUGCUUAGCACAGAGCUAGAUGCAUAAAAACUCCUUUAAAUGUUUCUGGAUUUGAUCUGACUUGACCACCCUCAUUCCUAGAACCUUAGGCUUCUAUGACACUGCCUUGUUCUGGUUCUGCUACCUGUCUGAUUCUUUCCUUUUGGGAUUAUUUGCUGGCUUAAUGUUCCCCUUCCUACUGCCCAAACAGGGUAUCCUUCAAGUGUCUUAGGCCUUCUUUACAUCAUAUCUCUCUCUUCCUACAUUCAUUCAAUCAUUUGCCAAUUUGGUUAAUUUUAUCUCCCUAACAUCAAGGCUUAGGUCAAUUUUCACCUCCUAUAAGAGGCUUCUUGAUUUCCUCUAGUUGUUAGUGUUUCUGUACAUGUAAUUUCCUCUUCCACUUGAUGGAAGAACUGUUUUCUGGUUUGCCUUUGGAUCCUGGUCACGUGAAUUCUUUCUGGAUGUAUGACCCAUCAGUGUUGAAUCCCAGCACUACUCCAGGGAUUGCCCAGGCCAUUGUCAACUCACAACAAGAUUCUUGGAGAAAUUAUUACCCUAAUCAUCAAAUGAGAAGAGAAAACCAAUGCUGGAAUUUCUUCUUUCAACAACAACAGAACCCAGCUGAGUUUCGAAAUCAUUAUUAUCAUCACCAAGCAACUGUUCCUACCAAUUCCAAUACUUAUUUGAAUCCUAAUUCUUCUGUUCAAUCCAACUAUAGAAUGGACUAGUCACAGAGUCUGUCAUCAUAUAACAACUCAGAAUAGCAAACAAGUAGUACAAAUUACCAAGCUGGACUACCUUAUUACCCUAGGGCCAACUCAAUGACUGGAGCACAUUCAUUCCACCUGGAAUUUUAAUACAAUCAUAAACCCCAGGCAUGGUGCUCAUAUACUUUCUACCUCACUCUCCAGUCUGCUCUAUGUAAAAAUUAAAAUUAGUCAUAACUGUAAAAAUUAAAACAUCGUAUUUUAAAAUAUUUAUUAAUGAUCAUUAGAAAUAAAGGAAUAUAAGGUAACA